AAGGUUUCCGUAGGUGAACCUGCGGAAGGAUCAUUAGUGAAUAAACUCGGGUGGGUUGUUGCUGGUCACCUCGGUGGCAUGUGCACACUUGCUCAUUGUUUCAUUCCUCCCCUUCCACCUGUGCACUCAUUGUAGACCACACUGCCAUCUAUCAGGCAUGUCCUGGCAUGAGGACCUGCCCCUUGGGCUGUCCUUGGGUGGUGUUGGCCUAUGUUCUCAUCAACCCCUAUUGUAUGUGAUUGAACGUAUGACCGGGCUCUUCAUAGACCCAUAAACCUAAUACAACUUUCAACAACGGAUCUCUUGGCUCUCGCAUCGAUGAAGAACGCAGCGAAAUGCGAUAAGUAAUGUGAAUUGCAGAAUUCAGUGAAUCAUCGAAUCUUUGAACGCACCUUGCGCUCCUUGGUAUUCCGAGGAGCAUGCCUGUUUGAGUGUCAUUAAAUCCUCAACUUCAUCUCCCUUGUGGAUGAAUGGAGUUGGAUGUGGUAGUUGCUGGCUCAUCGUCAGCUCUUCUCAAAUGCAUUAGCAGGGCCGCCCUAUGCAAGGCUGCAGCUUGGUAUUGAUAGUUGUCUUACCAGGCAGUGGCCGAGUGAAGUGCUCAGCUUCUAACUGUCUCGCUGUUGAGACAAUAAUCAUGACGAUUUGACCUCAAAUCAGGUAGGACUACCCGCUG
rnacentral:rRNA from 1 species